GACAGAGGUGCCAAGCGUAGGCGGAAUCACUGGCUUAAGGCGUGAUGUAGGCGGAGUUCCUAAGUACCUUGUGGAAAUCCCACGGCUCAACCGUGGAACUGCUCGGUAUACGUGGGUAUCUUGAGCCACUUAGGGGCGACCGGAACAAAUGGUGGAGCGGUGAAAUGCGCAGAUAUCAUUGGAACGCCAAUGGUGAAAACAGGUCGCUGGGAGUGUGCUGCGCUGAGACACGAAAGCCAGGGGAGGCAAACGGG
rnacentral:rRNA from 1 species